UUCCUAGAUGAGAUUCAGGGGUGGGUUUCUACUGGUUCACACUGGUUCUAUAGAACUGGUUGUUAACGUCACUGGUAGUUCUAAGAACUGGUAAAACCGACCCCUGCUUGGCCCCGCCCCUCUCCGAUGCUCCUAUGGGCCAAAAACUGGUUUUUAUUACUGCGCAUGAGCAAAAAUCCCUUACUCAUUCUCCCCCGCCUGUCCCUCCCUUCGCU